rnacentral:rRNA from 1 species
AAUCAACGCUGGCGGCGUGCCUCAGACAUGCAAGUCGAACGCGAAAGCCCCCUUCGGGGGGCAAGUAGAGUGGCGCACGGGUGAGUAACACGUAGGUAAUCUACCUUUGGAUUGGGAAUAACCACCGGAAACGGAGGCUAAUACCGAAUAAUGCAGCGGCACCUAAUGGUGACAGUUGUUAAAGCGGGGGAUCGCAAGACCUCGCGUCUGAAGAGGAGCCUGCGGCAGAUUAGCUAGUUGGUAAGGUAACGGCUUACCAAGGCGAUGAUCUGUAGCCGGCCUGAGAGGGCGGUCGGCCACACUGACACUGACAUACGGGUCAGACUCCUACGGGAGGCAGCAGUCGGGAAUUUUGGGCAAUGGGCGAAAGCCUGACCCAGCAACGCCGCGUGAAGGAUGAAAUCCCUCGGGAUGUAAACUUCGCAAGAACGGGAAGAAUAAGCCGGUGUCAACACCACCGGCGAUGACGGUACUGUUUGUAAGCUCCGGCUAACUCCGUGCCAGCAGCCGAC